GUGGAGCAUGUGGUUUAAUUCGAUGCAACGCGAAGAACCUUACCUACUCUUGACAUCCAGAGAACUUUCCAGAGAUGGAUUGGUGCCUUCGGGAACUCUGAGACAGGUGCUGCAUGGCUGUCGUCAGCUCGUGUUGUGAAAUGUUGGGUUAAGUCCCGCAACGAGCGCAACCCUUAUCCUUUGUUGCCAGCGGUUCGGCCGGGAACUCAAAGGAGACUGCCAGUGAUAAACUGGAGGAAGGUGGGGAUGACGUCAAGUCAUCAUGGCCCUUACGAGUAGGGCUACACACGCGCUACAAUGGCAUAUACAAAGAGAAGCGACCUCGCGAGAGCAAGCGGACCUCAUAAAGUAUGUCGUAGUCCGGAUUGGAGUCUGCAACUCGACUCCAUGAAGUCGGAAUCGCUAGUAAUCGUAGAUCAGAAUGCUACGGUGAAUACGUUCCCGGGCCUUGUACACACCGCCCGUCACACCAUGGGAGUGGGUUGCAAAAGAAGUAGGUAGCUUAACCUUCGGGAGGGCGCUUACCACUUUGUGAUUCAUGACUGGGGUG
rnacentral:rRNA from 1 species